rnacentral:rRNA from 1 species
CGAGUCUGAACAGGGCGUUUAGUUGCAUGGAGUAGACCCGAAGCCAAGUGAUCUACCCAUGGCCAGGGUGAAAUUUCGGUAACACGAAAUGGAGGCCCGAACCGGUGUUGGUUGAAAACAGCUCGGAUGAGCUGUGGGUAGGGGUGAAAGGCCAAUCAAACUUGGAAAUAGCUGGUUCUCCCCGAAAUCUAUUUAGGUAGAGCCUGGCAAAUUAAGUAGCGGAGGUAGAGCACUGGAUGGGCUAGGGGCCCUACCAGGUUACCAACCCCAACCAAACUCCGAAUGCCGCUAACUUCUAUUGCCGGAGGCAGACUACGGGCGAUAAGGUCCGUGGUCGAGAGGGAAACAGCCCAGACCGUCAGCUAAGGUCCCUAAGCGUGUGCUAAGUGGGAAAGGAUGUGGAGUCGCUUAAACAACCAGGAGGUUGGCUUAGAAGCAGCCAUCCUUUAAAGAAAGCGUAAUAGCUCACUGGUCGAAUGGGUCUGCGCCGAAAAUUCAACGGGGCUCAAGCAUGUAACCGAAGCUGCGGGUCUCGCGCAAGCGGGGCGGUAGGGGAGCAUUCCAUCCUAGGUUGAAGCCAGAUCGUAAGGACUGGUGGACGAAAUGGAAGAGAUUAUGCUGACAUAAGUAGCGACAAAGCGUGUGAGAAACACGCUCGCCGAAAACCUAAGGUUUCCUGAGUAAAGUUAAUCUUCUCAGGGUUAGUCGAUCCCUAAGCCGAGGCCGAAAGGCGUAGGUGAUGGAAAACAGGUUAAUAUUCCUGUACCACUUCUUCCGCGUUUGAGCGAUGGGGGGACGCAGGAGGGUAGGCCAUUCCCGUGUUGGAAUACGGGAUCCAAGCUUGUAGGUGGAUCCGCCAGGAAAAUCCGGCGGGUCUUAACACCGAGAAGUGAUGGGGAUGCCGAGCAAUCGGCUACAAACUGGCUGAGCCCACGCUGCCAAGAAAAGCCUCUAGCAAGUGGAAGGGGUGAUCGUACCGCAAACCGACACAGGUAGGCGGGGAGAGAAUCCUAAGGCGCUUGAGUGACCCCUCGUUAAGGAACUCGGCCAAUUAACUCCGUAACCUCGGGAAAAGGAGUGUCUCGGGUUGUGAGGGGACUUGCUCCCGGAGCAAUCUGAGAUCGCAGUGAAAAGGCUGUAGCGACUGUUUAAUAAAAACACAGGUCUCUGCGAAGUCGUAAGACGAAGUAUAGGGGCUGACGCCUGCCCGGUGCCGGAAGGUUAAGGGGACUUGUUAGCCGCAAGGCGAAGCAUCGAACCGAAGCCCCGGUAAACGGCGGCCGUAACUAUAACGGUCCUAAGGUAGCGAAAUUCCUUGUCGGGUAAGUUCCGACCUGCACGAAUGGCGUAACGACUUCAGCACUGUCUCAACGAGGGGCUCAGCGAAGUUGUGGUAGCGGUGAAGACGCCGCUUACCCGCAUCAAGACGGAAAGACCCCGUGCACCUUUACUAUAACUUGGCAAUGGAUUUUGGGAUAGUCUGUGUAGGAUAGGUGGGAGGCUAUGAAAUCCCGGCGCCAGUCGGGAUGGAGCCAACCUUGAAAUACCACCCUGAUUAUUCCGAAAUUCUAACUCGGACCCGUUAUCCGGGUCGAGGACAUUGCCUGGUGGGUAGUUUGACUGGGGCGGUCGCCUCCAAAAGUGUAACGGAGGCGCACGAAGGUUCCCUCAGGCUGAUUGGAAACCAGCCGAAGAGUGUAAAGGCAUAAGGGAGCUUGACUGCGAGACUGACGAGUCGAGCAGGUGCGAAAGCAGGUCUUAGUGAUCCGGCGGUUCUGGAUGGAAGGGCCGUCGCUCAACGGAUAAAAGGUACGCCGGGGAUAACAGGCUGAUCUCCCCCAAGAGU